CUAUCUCCCCAGCCCCGAGAUCAGGAGCAUGAGGGUGGUUUUCCCAGGGCGAGGCUCAUUCAUUGCUCUCUGCUUGUGCUGACUGCUGGGACUUCCCCAAAUGUGGGAAACUCGGUUACAUAAUUUGUGAUAUUGGGGGACUGUGUUCCUGCUGUCCCCUC
ensembl:snRNA U1 U1 spliceosomal RNA